UUGCUCACCUUUUCAAAACCACGGAAUCUGUUUACAAAACAAGCCAAAGAAACCCUUUUCAAAAUUUUGAAUAUAAUUAUAAUCUUUUUAGCUUGCUAUGUUUCUUGGUUUCCACAAUUAUAACCUCUGCCAUACUCAAAGUCUUUCUCAUAGUCUUUUCAUUAGGUUUUCUUACUCUCUUUCUAUCUACCUCAAUCUUUUUCCUCUUUCUCCAAAACACGGGCGAUUUCAAAUCUGAGCCAAAGUCACAGCAAAUCGGUGAGAUCUUUCUUUGUUUCGUGUUUUGAGUUCUCUAAUCUCUCUUCUUCUCUCAAUAAUUUCUGAAGGGUUUGUGUAAAAAAUGAGGAAGAUGAUGAUAAAAUAGGGUUUCAUGAACGUUAGUGUUGUAUCCCAUUUUCUUUCUUCUCAUUAUUUUUGGAAAAUUUGUAUACAUGAGGAUGAGGAUGAUGAUGAUGGAAUUUUAGGGUUUUGGUUCUGUAUUCUGCUACAGUGAAAAAAUGUGAAUCAGAUUCUCUUUACUGUGAAACAAAGUUUAUUUGUGGUUUGUAGUAAAGAUUAGGCCCAUGAUUUGAAUCAUUCCCCUUAAAAAUUCUGAUUCCUUCACAUAAACCCUAAUGAUGAAUUAUGAAUCUUCUUGAGACUUCUUAUUCAUAUUCAUGUUUCUUCUAACAUUAUGAUGUUUUGCUCUCUAACUCUUGUCGUAUUUGUGUUUUUCCUCAUUACUACAUUCAGAUACUAGUCCAUUCGACUCGAGAAGAAGCACACAUCAGUCUUUCAGAAUGAUGAUCCUUCUGUGAAAUCUAAGAAAUAUGAUCUACCUGGAUAUGUUGUUUCAGAUGCAAAAUCUUGGUUUGCAGCCAACCAGCCAUACAUAUGACAACAUUAUUAGAAAUUCAGCACAGGUAGGAGUUCAUGCUCUAUUAAAAACAAUAUAAAAGGGACUGUUUUCGUAUGCCGAGCCAUAUUCUGAAAAACAAAGCUUGAAAUAUGUUACUGUUUUCGUGCAGUAACGCAA